CGCGGCGGGCGCCGGGCCCCCGGCACUGAGGGGCCGGCGGGGGUCGCGGCCCCUGCCGCCCUCGGCGGAGGCGGCGGCGCCCCCAGCCCCGGUCCCCACCCCGGGGACGCUCUCCGGCGCGGUGCGCUGCCGCCGGCUGUGCUGAGUCACUGGCGGCACUUCGCCGGGCAGCCGGCCGACGUCGAGCCUACCACGUUGAAAGUGCCUGCUGAGCGCGGCUGUGUCGGCGACCGUGCGCGCACACGGUCCUGGAGGACACGUGCCGGCGGCAGGACUUCAACCCCAACGAGUACGACCUGAAGUUUCAGAGGAAUGUGCUGGACCUGUCUCUGCAGUGGCGAUUCGCCAACCUGCCCAACAACGCCAAGCUGGAGAUGGUGCCCAUCUCCCGGAGCCGCGAGGGGCCUGAGACCAUGGUGCGCGUUGCCCUGCAGCUGGACGACGGCUCCCGGCUGCAAGACGCUUUCUGCUCAGGCCGGACGCUCUGGGAGCUCCUCUGCCACUUUGCGCAGAUCAGGGAGCGUCUCGAGCGGCCGUGUCAGGCGAGCCCAGUCUGCGUGUACAUGCGGGACGAGGUGACCGGCAGAGCCGCCUUGCAGAGCACGACCCUGCAGUCGCUGGGCCUCACCGGGGGCAGUGCCACCAUCAGGUUCGCCAUGAAGCCCUGGGACGCGGCCGGCACGCAGGAGCCCGGGGCCGCCCAGAGCAGGAGCCCGGGAAGCCCGCGCCUGACACCAGCCGGCCAGGCCGCCAGCAGCCCUCUGCUGCCGCUGAACCCCGCAGGGCUCAGCCACGGCGACGUGAGCCGGCAGGACGCGGCAGCCAGCGCGGGGCCCGGCCUCACGGACGGCCCCGGCCCCACGCCCGCAGACGCCCAGGCCAAGCCCGUCGCGAAGGAGCCCGCACCUGCCCCCUUCGUGCCCUUCUCAGGCGGGGGACAGCGACUGGGGGGGCCCUGCGGGGCCGCAAGGCCUCUGGUGUCACCUUCAGCCAAACCACCCAAGUCCUUCUCCAGCCCCGCAGGCCCCUCGAAGCCAAAGAAGUCGCGGCCUGGCCAGGAGCCCCAGCAGGAGCCGGAGCCAGAGCUGGAGCCGCCGGUGGACCGAGCCCCCGUGGUGUGCCACCCCGACCUGGAGGUGCUGCUUCAGGCCUGGCCUGCGGAGCUGCCUGAUGAGUUCUUCGAGGUGACCGUGGACGACGUCCGAAGGCGCCUGGCCCAGCUCAAGAGCGAGCGGAAGCGCCUGGAAGAAGCACCCCUGGUGACCAAGGCCCUCCGGGAGGCCCAGAUGAAGGAGAAGCUGCAGCGCUACCCUAAGGUGGUCCUGAGGGUCCUGUUUCCGGACCGCCACAUCCUGCAGGGCUUCUUCCGCCCCAGUGAGACCGGUGAGCAGCCCUCGGGGCAUCUGGGGGGCGGGCGGCCCGUGACCCCCUCAGGCCCCUUCCCUCAGGGCCGUGGGGCUGCAGGGCUGGGCUCCAGGGCUGGCCUUGGCCGGGUGCUGUGGUCUCCGUGGGGCAGGCGGCAGGUGCGGGCUAGGGGCUGGACUCACAUCAAAUGCUUGGCAGGCCAGGCGGGCAGUUCUGGGCGCGGGUGGGAUAGGGGCACCCAGAGGAGGUGGGCCCAGGGCUCCCCAGCACCUGCUGUUGGGUCUCCGGCCUGGGGCUGUGGCUCACCUGGGGGGAAGGCAGCAGUGCCACCGGUUCUGAGUGGGGUCCUUGGUGACCCGGACCCAAGACUGCAGAGGUGGGGUGGCAGGCAGGCCCUCAAGGUCCCCGGUCCCCGGGGGCAGCUCUGGCUGGUGGUGGGCGGAGCGAACGGCCGAGGGAGGGACAGUCCCCCAGCAGAUGGGGUCCCAGGCUGGGACCAUCCCACUGCCAAACUGCUGGGGGCACCGUGGAAAGAACAAGCUUGGAUUGCUGCCCUCAAAGCUCGGAUUUGGCCUGAGGUCGAGCCGCUGCGUCCGUGGAGGCUGGGCCUGGCGGCCGCAACACCAGAGCAGAUCUGCCUCUGGGCCCCCACCCACCUGCCCUUCCUCCCGCAGUGGGGGACUUACGGGACUUUGUGAGGAGCCACCUGGGCAACCCCGCGCUGCCCUUCCACCUGUGUGAGUAGGGGGCUUGCGGCAGCUUCUCCCGCGUGAACAGCAUCGUGGGGCAGAUGGGGGCACAGGGGGAGGGAGGAAGGUGCCCUCUGCCUGCCCCAGGAGCCGUGGGGGUGGGGUGCAGGGAGAGCUGCAGGGCCGCACAAGGCGCUGAGCGGGGCGAGCAUACCCUGCAGGUGGGCCCCCCCCCUUGCCCUCCCCCGUGCCCUCCCCCCAGCUUCCUGUUGGGUCUUGGCAGCAGCAGAGCGAUGGGCGGGGGGCUGUGAGCUGAGGGGCCGCUUCAGAAACCCCCCAGCUGUGGCCGCAGGCCUCCUGCUCCCGCGUGGCGGCACCGAGGGCCAGGGCGCUUGCUGAGACAACACCCAUCUCUCCGCAGUCAUCGCUCCGCCCAAGACCAUCCUGGACGACCACACGCUGACCCUUUUUCAGGUACCAGCCUGCCAGGCUGGGGGCGCUGCUGGGCCGGCCCGAAGCGGCACAGGCCCUGGACCAGGGAGGGGCGGGUGGCCUGGAGGGAGCAGAGCGCCUCCGAAGUUGGUUGGGGCUCUGCAGCCUCGGCCCUGCCAGGACUGCCCCUGGUCUGGGGGAGAGGGGCUGGUUGCUGGGCUGUGGGGAGCCCCGGAAGGCUCAAGGGUCAGAGGCCGCAGCCACGGGUGGCCAGCUGCCUGGGAAGGCCUGGGGGUGCCAGCUGCUGGCAGCAGGUUUGGCCCCGGCCUGGAGGGGCUGCGGCCAGGCCUUUCUCCCCGACCCCGUGGCCUCUGCUGGGAAUGCCGUGCUGGGCCCUCCCCGCUGGCCGGGGCCCGGAGCUCCCAGGGUGGGGAGUGGUGAUCCUGAUGGGCUGCCCUGCUGGGCUGCGUCCAGAGCCAGAAGGAAUGUCCUGUGCCUUCGCCCCGGGAGAGCGGCCCGGGGCCUCCCCAGCCCUCCAGCCUAAUGGCUCCUCGUCAAAGUCUCUUCAGAUAUUUUAAUUAGGAGCAGAGGCUGGCCUUUGUCAAGCGGCCAGCAGGCCCCGCAGAGAUCCGAGUUGGGGUGAGGGGCCUCCGUGCUGCCCGCCCGGGGCUGCCACCGUCGGGGGGUGGGGGUGGGGGGCAGACCGACCGCAGAGAGGCUGGAAGCUCACCAAGGAAAGGAGCCAAGGUUGGCGGGAGCAGGGGGCUCCCCCCCGCGCCCCCUUCUCCGCCCCUGGGAGCCCCGGAGGCAUUGGGCCUCCUCCUGUCCCCGCCCGCCCUCCUCACUGGCCAGCCUGUUGAUAAACAUUGAAUUUGGAAGAUGCUUCGGGGUGGGGAGGCCCGCGGCCGUACACUCCCUCCAGUUGGGAGCCCUGGGUGCCGCCUGUCCCACCCACGUGGCCUGAUUCCUGGUGACACUCUGCCCCCCGCUACCAGCAGCCGUCUCCUUUCAUCCAUCAGCUCCCCUGGAGCCGCGGGGCCUCACUCAGGGUGGCGUCCCUGGCUGCCCGUGAUCAGAGAGCUGGCAGGGCCCCGGGAAGGAAGCCUUCUUCCCGCCCGCGGGCCAGCGGGCGCGGAAGCGGCCGGCUUUCAUGUCCCUGGCAGGGCUGCCUGGGGCCAGGCCUGCGCCCCAGAAAGUGACAGCUCCGGGUGGGUGUGGGGACGGCAGCCCAGCUGCCCCUCUGGCUGCGGGAGCAGGAGCGGCUCUUUGCUGAGAGAGGCCGAGGGGGCCGAGGGCGGGAGGAUGCGGAGGUCGCAGUGUGGACACAGCUGCCCAGCGCCCCCACCUCAGGCCUGCUGCCCGGGCUGAGCCCCUCCCUCCUUUCCUCCGUCUCAGCCUCCUGCCCACUGCCUCGCCCAGGGCCCUGGCUCCACCCCUGGUGGGCCCCAAAGACCACCUCGUCAGCCUGAGCAGAGGGUAGACCCUCCCUCCCAGUGGUCCCCGUGGUUGCCCGCGCUGCCCUCAGCUCUUUGUCCCUUAGGGACCCCGAGACAGAGCCGGCGGGUAGGGGGCUUCCAGCAGGUGCCGAGGGGAGGCCAGGAGGCCGGGUUCACGAGGAGCCGCCUCCAGGAGGCGCCACAGGGCGGGUGGCCCCAGUGCCUGGCCGGUUGGCUGGGUCACCCGGGGCGGGUUGGGGCACCACCCUACCUGUGCGCCCCCCCCCCGCCCCCGUCAGUGUCCGAGGCCCUGGGGCACCUCCUCGACCCUGCAGGCCACAUGCCUCCGCCCCGGGCUUCCACAUGGCCGCGUGGGGUUGCAGAGUGUUCUCAGCUGCCCUCGGCCUCAGCCUCUGCUGUGACCUUGGGUCCAGCCUUGGAAGCUCCCUCUUACUAACCCCCCAACCCAACUCCAAGAGCUGGGCCCUGAGAACGGGGCGGGGGGACACACUCAGCUGGCAGCUGUGGCCCUUCCACCAGGGACCGGAGACGUGGAGCCUCAGGCAGUGGCCUUGCUGCCGCCUCAGGCCCGCUUGGGGGUCUCAGCCGUGACCAUCCUCAGGUGCAGAGGCGGGUGGUGACCCGGGGGCUCUGCGCUCCUCUGCUGCAGCCCCAUUCGGCCCCACAGUCCAGCCCCCUGCCCGGAAGGCACCCAGUCCCACGCCAGACCCGGAGCAGAAACCUCCGGCAGCCUCUGCUGGGGGGGGCGCUGCCAGGCCUAGCUCCUCCUUCAGGAUGUCUGCUGCUCCCCGGGAACUGGGGGGAGAAAGGCCGGAGCGCACAGGUGCCCGUCCGGCUGGGGCUGGAGCUGGCCCCGGGCAGGAUCCUGUGGUCUGAUGCCCUGGCCAGCCAGGGCAGCUGGGUGGUGGGCCAUGUUGUGGGGUGGUGCCCUGGCCCCUGAGCUCCCUCUGCACCCCUCAGGCCAGCCUCUUCCCCGCUGCCCUUGUGCAUUUCGGACCCGAGGAGCCGACAGGUGGGUGGCCCCUCUCUCCGCCCACCGCCACUGGCUCUGGGCGUGGAUGCCCACUCCUCAGACGGGUGCGGGAGGGAGGCCAGUGGCCCUGAUGCCCCCAUAUCCCCCUUCGGGCUGGGACAGCCGCCUGCCCGGCCAGGCCCCUUGCCCUGUGGCCUGAGGUGAGGCUGGACCUCCCGCAGGCAUCUACUUGGAGCCCAGGCUGCUGGAACACACUGUGUCCCCAUCUGCUGCUGACGUCCUGGUGGCCAGGUGAGUGACUCCAGAGGGGUAGGGAGGGCCCAGUGCCCAGUGCCCACUAUCCUGUUCCUUGGCCUUUGUCCUCAGGUGCAUGUCCAGGGCCGCCGGGACCCCAUCCCCGCUGCCAGCCCCUGCCUCUGUGCCCCUGGAGUUGGAACCAACCUCUGAGGAAGAGGCAGCAGGGCCCCCCGCGCCCAGCCCUGGGAUGGCCCAGCCCGUGAGGAGGGACCUGGGCAAGGUGCCCAAGUGGCUGAAGCUGCCAGCCGCCAAGAGGUGAGAGCCACCAGCCCAGAGGUGCCCACUCUGACAGCCACAGGACCCCUGCCUACUGAGCGGAAAUAAAGACGCGAGCCUCU